CAGUAGCCACGGGAAUACGGAGGGCGCGAGCGUUACCCGGAUUUACUGGGCGUAAAGGGCGUGUAGGCGGCCUGGGGCGUCCCAUGUGAAAGGCCACGGCUCAACCGUGGAGGAGCGUGGGAUACGCUCAGGCUAGAGGGUGGGAGAGGGUGGUGGAAUUCCCGGAGUAGCGGUGAAAUGCGCAGAUACCGGGAGGAACGCCGAUGGCGAAGGCAGCCACCUGGUCCACUUCUGACGCUUAGGCGCGAAAGCGUGGGAAGCAAACCGGAUUAGAUACCCGCGUAGUCCCUGUCUCUUAUAC
rnacentral:rRNA from 1 species